CACGUAGGGACCAAGCGUUGUCCGGAUUCAUUGGGCGUAAAGAGCUCGUAGGCGGUUCGAUAAGUCGGGUGUGAAACCUCCAGGCUCAACCUGGAGACGCCACCCGAUACUGUCGUGACUAGAGUCCAGUAGGGGAGCGUGGAAUUCCUGGUGUAGCGGCGAAAUGCGCAGAUAUCGAGAGGAACACCUGCGGCGAAGGCGGGUUGCUGGGCUGACACUGACGCUGAUGCGCGAAAGCUAGGGGAGCGAACGGG
rnacentral:rRNA from 1 species